rnacentral:tRNA from 1 species
GGGGUUAUGGUAUAGUUGGUAACACGCUAGAUUUGCAUUCUAGUAUCCCGAGUUCGAAUCUCGGUAGCUCCA